UCAGGAGAGGUUGACACGUCUCACCAGCACGGAAUGCCAUAGGGUCCGCACAAGAGUAGCAGAUUUCGAGAAACUUGCCGCAAGCUUGAAAACUGCUCGGCCACUGAAAACGGCAGCCACUGCGUACGGCACGCAGAUGGAAAGCAGUGCAGUGAGAGAAUUUCAGAAGAAGUUUCCUGCAAUUGUAUAUCAGGCUGGGCUUCUGAUUCAUCCUGGACAGCAAUGGCUCUGCGCAAGCCCAGAUGGCGUAGUGCGACUGGACGACCGGCUGUACCUUCUGGAAGUGAAAUGCCCGUUUGGUCGGAAGGGACAGUCAA